GAUGAACGCUAGCGGCAGGCUUAAUACAUGCAAGUCAAGGGGGUAGCAAUACAACCGGCGCACGGGUGAGUAACGCGUACACAACAUACCAUAUACUGGGGUAUAGCUUCGGGAAACUGAAGGUAAUCCCCCAUAAUAUUGCGGGAAGGCAUCUUUCUGCAAUUAAAGUUUCGACGGUAUAUGAUUGGUGUGCGUUUGAUUAGCUAGUUGGUAGGGUAACGGCCUACCAAGGCGACGAUCAAUAGCUGGCGUGAGAGCGCGACCAGCCACACUGGAACUGAGACACGGUCCAGACUCCUACGGGAGGCAGCAGUAGGGAAUAUUGGACAAUGGGCGGAAAGACCUGAUCCAGCCAUGCCGCGUGAUAGAUGAAGGCCCUCUGGGUUGUAAAUAAUCUUUUAUUCUGGAAGGAAAC
rnacentral:rRNA from 1 species